AUAUUCAGAUGAUUCCAUAAAUCAGCUGGAAUAUUACACAGAUGGAAACAGUGAGGCUGAAGAAAAGGCAGAUGAUGAUAAAGAGAAGGAGUCUGAUUAUCUCAGGACUGUGACCAAAGCUGAUUACGAUGAUGUGGAGACUGGAGUCCCUGUUACUGAAGGAUACAGUUAUGAUGACGCUGAAUCAGUACCUGUUAUCAGAAAUGACAUAGAGAAUGUUUCAUCUGGUACGUUUCCUGAAGUAGGCUUUGACAUCAGAGAACACAGUAAUAAUACUGCUUU